rfam:Danio rerio chromosome 20, GRCz11 reference primary assembly.
GUCAGAAUGGCCGAGUGGUCUAAGGUGCCAGACUAAAGGUGAAUCAACUUUCUCAGUUAAUGAGAAUUCUGAUCUCCCGAUGGCGGUGUGGGUUCAAAUCCAACUUCUGACA